rnacentral:lncRNA from 1 species
AUCGGUCUCCACACCCUUAAACUCCGUGAUAAAACUGUUUCUAGUCAUCUGAGGAUCUUCCAGCCUCCACAGAAUCGGAAUUUCCAGAUCUGUAGCUGGCAUAUAGGAAAGCUGUCCUGCCCUGUUUGGAGGAAAGGUGAAUCUUGCCUAGUGAAGGAAAGGAAGGAGCAUUUGGAAACGCACACUCAACUGGAUAGCACACAGAUGACAACAGCCUGCCCGCAAUGCCUGUGCUGAUCCUCACAAGCAGUAAAGCAGGGUGCUGAGAACCACAGCCACAGCAGAACUCCAGCUCCAAACGGCCACCCUGAAUCAGGGCUGGCAUUGCUUCCAGCACGGACAGAGAAAGAGCCAUUAACCCUGAGCAGCGCAUGCAGAUCUGGGGCUGCUCUCAGCCUGGGCCCACUGAUUCCCUUUGGAAAGGGAACGUUCUGGGCAGGACAAGCAGGGCUGGAGAGAGGAACCUCACUGGUCCAGGGGGUCUGCAAAGGGAGAGUGUGUUCCACAGCUUUAGCAGGAAGGCAAUGGUACGGACGGGCCCGUGCAGCUGGUUGGUUGUUUCCCUGCAAAGAACACCAGGGACACGCAGAGCUCCAGCAGUUAAUGCUGGAGUUGGGAGCAUUUCUGUGGUUUUUGGAGGCGGUGAGCGCCAAGUGACCAAGAGCUGCCCUGGCAGGAGAGCUCCUUUUCCUUACCCCCCUGAAACGCAGCCAGGCUCCACAGUUUUCAUUCUUCCUAUCCCCUUUUUUGAGGUCGGGACACCUCGGGCUCGAAGUUAUGAUCAGUGUAGAAUCCCCAAUCAUUGUUUUUUUAUUAACAAAGCUUUUUGA